rnacentral:lncRNA from 1 species
AAGGAAGUAAAAAAUCUGUACACUGAAAAUUACAGUACUCUGAAAAAGGAGAUUGAGGAGGAUAUCAGAAAAUGGAAAGAUUUCCCUUGUUCAUGGAUUGAAAAAAACAACAUAAACCAGGCAUGGUGGAAAAAAGAACAGGUAUUCAGGGACUAUCUCAACACGUCAGGAUACUUCUCUCUCCUGUGCUUCCGUGCGUAUCACCAUCUCUGCAGAUACAUUUCAAAAGGCUGAACCUGGAUAUACCACAUGUAAAAUUUGAAGUUUUUAAAUAAAUCCAACACACAAGCUGAAAUAUUGCAUGGCUUCCAAAAUAUCAAUAAAGAACAAACUAAAAGGUAGGUAACAGGAAGUAGGGAGGUUUUUUUUUUUUUUCAAAUGGAAAUGGGAUCAAGCAUUGGAGAGUGGGGAGGAAAAUGGGACUGAUAAAAAAGAGAUGCCUUAUGUACAUGUAGCAACUCCCUACAGGGAAUGAAAUUAUUAUGGAUGGCAAACAUGUACUAGUAAAAAGCAAAAACUGAAAAAUAUCAGUUUUAGACAGUGUGACAUUCCUGUGCUCUCCCUUUAAAAUACAUCCUGUAUGUGGCAGUUUAUCACCACUCCAUCACUUCCAGGCCAAUACCAGCUUCGCUUUCUUUUUCC